rnacentral:misc_RNA from 1 species
GUAUUUAAUUUAAAAGUCUUUCGACUUGAUAAACAUUCAUAAUAAAAUAAAGAGUAUGUAAUUUAGCAGAGUAGGGAUUUCUCCCUAAACUCUGAAAACAAGUGCACAGGUGUGAAUGGAUUAUAGAGAACGAGCACAUGCACAAAGGCCAGCAUCAAUUCUCUGAAUUCAUUAAUGAUCCUUCCGCAGGUUCACCUACGGAAA